rnacentral:rRNA from 1 species
UCUAGAGGCUUCGGCAAUGGGGGAAACCCUGACCGAGCGACGCCGCGUGCGGGAUGAAGGUCGUAAGAUUGUAAACCGCUGUCAGCAGGGAAGAAUGCCUGGAUGGUGAAUCCGGGAGUGACGGUACCUGCGAAGGAAGCCCCGGCUAACUCCGUGCCAGCAGCCGCGGUAAUACGGAGGGGGCGAACGUUGUUCGGAAUCACUGGGCGUAAAGGAUGCGUAGGCGGUUCGGCAAGUCUGGCGUGAAAUCCCAUCGCUUAACGAUGGAACUGCGUUGGAAACUACCGAGCUCGAGGAUGGGAGAGGCUGGUGGAAUUCCUGGUGUAGCGGUGGAAUGCGUAGAUAUCAGGAAGAACACUCGUGGCGAAGGCGGCCAGCUGGCCCAUUUCUGACGCUGAGGCAUGAAAGCCAGGGGAGCAAACG